GAGAAACACACAGAGACCCAGGGAAGAGGCCAUGUGAAUGAAGAUGGAGGCAGAGACUGAAUUUAGGUUCCCACAAACCAAGGAAUGCCAGAAACCACCAAAAGCUGGAAGAGGAAAAGGAGGAUUCUUCCUUACAGACUUCAGAGAGAGCAUGGCCCUGAAAACACAUUGAUUUCAGACUUUCAGCCUCCAGAAUCAUGAGAGAAAAAAUGUCUGUUGUUUUAAGUCACAGCAGCUGUAAGAAACCAGUACAAGUAUCACUGUGUUUUAAGCCUGUGGGCCUGACUCAUGAGUGUCUAUCAGAAAUGCCCUCUCCUCUAUAUUCACUUAGAUGUUUCAUAUUUCUCCUUUGCAUGUCAUUCAUGGCUUUCAGGAAGACUUUUUUGGCAGCCCAGGGCAGGUCUGGCUUUAUGCUACCAGCAGCCCAGGGCAGGUCUAGCUUUAUGCUGUCAGAUGGAGUGGGCUAUAAGUAGAAUGUGACCAGGCUGAUGGUGAUGCUGCUGCUUCUAGCCUGGCAUCAUACUGGUUUUCCUCUGCAGUUGAGAAGAGUCAUGUGCAAGCUCGUGGCAGCAGCAAGUCCUCCUAAUAUGUCCCUGGUAUCAAACUAACUCAUUAGACUGUGGUAGCUGUGGUUGACUCCUGGUUUCUCCCAACUCCACCCUUUUGGCAGGCAGCAACCCUGGCCAGCAGCUGCUCAUGGUCUAGGAAGGACAGCUGUCUUAACACCCAUUCAUCUGUAGAGAGCAGCCUUUUGGAUCAGCGGAUGGCUCCACCAGAUGCUCAGCUUGUUUUCAGUUCUGGAGUCUGAAAUCCCCAGUGCCAUCUACCUGGCAUCAGUCUCAGGUGCAGCAUUUUCAUAAGGACCCUGAUGUCAGCAGCUGCUUGUGGUGAAACAUCUCACAGUGGAAGAGGAGCAUUCUGUGUUGAGAAUUUCCAUUGACGAAGCCAACUGAGUGGCCUGAUUCCCUUGGACCAGCAAUCUAGAGCUAGGGAAGAUGUUGCCCCAAGGAAGAGGCACAGCAGACACUUGGCUCUCCUCUUGGGUUUCUGCUUUCUCUGAGAAAACAGAAGUUUGAGGCCUCUAGAAGCACUGCAUUCCCUCCAAAGGGAGGUUGUAGAUACAUUAAUUAAUAUGAUUUUAAUUCAAAACUUCCUGAGGCAGAUAAUUCUAAAUGAUUAUCCCAAAAAUAUUUCCAACACCCUUCUUUUUACCACCCACUGGCCCCCAAAUCCUCAAUUUUCCAGUCUCCCUUGAGCUAAGUGUGGCCCUAUGACUCACUUCCAGCCAUGAAAACAAGUGCAAAUCUGUUAGGAGUAUGUUCUGGGGCAAUUUUUGCUCUCCUGAUGAAGACAAAGGCUGUUGAUCCACUGAACCCACCCAGGUAAUCACUUAUUUUGUUCUUGUUCUAAGAGAAAAAUGACCCCAACUAUUAAAGUUACUGUGAGUUGA
ensembl:lncRNA LINC02631 long intergenic non-protein coding RNA 2631